UAACAGAUAAUUUAGGGUUCCGCUCAGGC
rnacentral:sRNA from 1 species